rnacentral:rRNA from 1 species
UUAAUUCGAAGCACGCGAAGAACCUUACCAAAUCUUGACAUCCUCUGAUCCCUCUAGAGAUAAAGUUUUCCCCUUCGGGGGACAGAGUGACAGGUGGUGCAUGGUUGUCGUCAGCUCGUGUCGUGAGAUGUUGGGUUAAGUCCCGCAACGAGCGCAACCCUUAAGCUUAGUUGCCAUCAUUAAGUUGGGCACUCUAAGUUGACUGCCGGUGACAAACCGGAGGAAGGUGGGGAUGACGUCAAAUCAUCAUGCCCCUUAUGAUUUGGGCUACACACGUGCUACAAUGGACAAUACAAAGGGUAGCGAAACCGCGAGGUCAAGCAAAUCCCAUAAAGUUGUUCUCAGUUCGGAUUGUAGUCUGCAACUCGACUAUAUGAAGCUGGAAUCGCUAGUAAUCGUAGAUCAGCAUGCUA